GUGUGUGUGUGUGUGUGUGUGUGUGUGUGUGUGUGUGUGUGUGUGUGUGUGUGUGUGUGUGUGUGUGUGUGUGUGUGUGUGUGUGUGUGUGUGUGUGUGUGUGUGUGUGUGUGUGUGUGUGUGUUUGUGUGCGCGCGCGCUGCGGUUGUGUGCGAUUUUUUCGUCUUAUUUGGUUGCCGUUCGCCCAAGUUUUGCGGCACAUGCCGAUCUUGACAUGCCGAACAAGUGCUGUGUGCCGGCAUGUUCAAGUAAUUACAUAACAGGGGAAAAGGCCCAAGUGUUUUCCUUCCCGAAGGACGAAGUGCUGCGCACGAAGUGGCUGAGGGCGAUUCCGCGGAAGGAUUUUGCUCCUACAGAGAAUAACAAGGUAUGCGCGCUGCACUUCGAUGAAUCAUGCCUUGAACGAAAGACUUCGUACACGGAUUCUAGGACAGGGCGAGUGCUUGAAGUUUCUUUGAAAGCACCACGUCUUCGCCAAGGAUCAGUGCCUACCCUUUUUCCGGGAUGCCCAUCGUACUUGUC
rnacentral:lncRNA from 1 species